UCAGGUAGGGGUGUUGUCACUUGUGUGCUUUCUGAAUAAGGUUAAUGCUGUUGAUGAUCCAGAUCUACUGGAACUUGUAGAGAUGGAACUCCGUGGAUGUUGUUUGAAUUGCUUGUCCUAACAGGUGCACAAGUUGGGAUGGAUUAGACUUCUAUCUUGAGAAAACGCCAUGAUUUCAGGGCUGCUUUCACCGAGUUUGAUGCAGAAAUCGUCGCCAACUUCACAGAAAGACAAAUAGCAUCAGUGGACA